UAGGGAAUAUUAGUAAUGGACGAAAGUCUGAUCUAGCAACACCGCGUGUGCGAAGAAGGCCUUCGGGUUGUAAAGCACUUUUUGGAAGGAUUAGGAAGGAAUGUACUUCCAGAAUAAGUCUCGGCUGACUACGUGCCAGCAGCCGCGGUAACACGUAGGAGGCAAACGUUAUCCGGAUUUACUGGGUGUAAAGCGCGUGUAGGUGGUUCUGUAAGUAGGGCGUGAAAGCUCCUGGCUCAACUGGGAGAGGCCGUUCUAAACUGCAGAGCUAGAGGAUGGUAGAGGGAGGUGGAAUUCCGGGUGUAGCGGUGGAAUGCGCAGAUAUCCGGAGGAACACCAGUGGCGAAAGCGGCCUCCUGGACCAUUCCUGACACUCAGACGCGAAAGCUAGGGUAGCAAACGG
rnacentral:rRNA from 1 species